UUUUUUUUUUUUCUUUUUCUUUUUGGAGUAAUUGAGUCUACAAUCUCUUAAAACAGAAAAUGCCAAUUCUUUAGCUGGCUUAGUAAGUAUAUGUAAUAAGUUAAAUUCUAAACAUCAAUGGGCAUUAUUCUCCUGAUCUAAGCAGCAAUAAACACUGCAUAUGUAAAGAUAAAGCAAACAAAAAGAUGCUCAAUUUAUCAAACAGCAGACAGCCACAAGUUAAACUCUCAAAUUAAAAUUUAAAGAAAAAUGAUCUACAAUACAAAACAAAGAAAAAUUAAAUAUCAACAUACGAAGGAACUUCUUGGCCAUUACCCGCUCAUGUCAACAAUCUCUCGA
rnacentral:misc_RNA from 1 species